CUCUUCUUUAGGCACUGAAGCAUGAGUCAUGACAGCCGGAAGCUCUGCUAAGCUUUCAUAUCCUCCCAGGCUCUCAGCCAGCGUGAACACCUUUAUGCUCUUCAGAAAGAUGGUAGCAUGUUUGAGAUUUCCUUUAAUGUAAAAUGACAGCAUCCCAGGACAGCCAGUGCACUGCCGCUUGGCCAGCUCGUGCUGGGGGUGCGAAGGCAAUCCAGGGUAAAUGACUUUCUCCACGCGGGGAUUUGACUCAAGGAAUCGACCCACAGCCAACGCAUUGCGGAAGUGUUGAUUCAUCCGCAGCUGCAGAGUCUUC
rnacentral:lncRNA from 1 species